GCCACUUUGGCUCAAUGGAUAGAGCGUUGGCCUGCGGACUUAAGGGUCCUGGGUUCGAUUCCCAUCAAGGGCA
rnacentral:tRNA from 1 species